rnacentral:rRNA from 1 species
AUUGAACGCUGGCGGCAGGCUUAACACAUGCAAGUCGAGCGGAGAUGAGGUGCUUGCACCUUAUCUUAGCGGCGGACGGGUGAGUAAUGCUUAGGAAUCUGCCUAUUAGUGGGGGAUAACAUUCCGAAAGGAAUGCUAAUACCGCAUACGUCCUACGGGAGAAAGCAGGGGAUCUUCGGACCUUGCGCUAAUAGAUGAGCCUAAGUCGGAUUAACUAGUUGGUGGGGUAAAGGCCUACCAAGGCGACGAUCUGUAGCGGGUCUGAGAGGAUGAUCCGCCACACUGGGACUGAGACACGGCCCAGACUCCUACGGGAGGCAGCAGUGGGGAAUAUUGGACAAUGGGGGGAACCCUGAUCCAGCCAUGCCGCGUGUGUGAAGAAGGCCUUAUGGUUGUAAAGCACUUUAAGCGAGGAGGAGGCUACUGAGACUAAUACUCUUGGAUAGUGGACGUUACUCGCAGAAUAAGCACCGGCUAACUCUGUGCCAGCAGCCGCAGUAACAC